GGGAAGGGGUCUUUGAUCUUUCCAUGUCAGGAGUAAAAACUGAAGACUGUAAUACUUUGAAAAGGUUAACACUGUCCAAUCUGUCAAAAUCCAAAUGGAUGGAGCAUUAUCAUCAACUCAAGAAAUGUAAAAAUACUACUGGAAAGUCUCUUGUUGGAAGAGCACCAAAUGGCAUUACAUCAAAUAAUUUAAUUGCUACCAAGAGAUCACGUGACACCCUAGGUCAAAAAAUUCCAGGUGAGCUGAUAUUUGAUAACGCUGGAUAUAUUGCUAACAGAAUAGAGCUUCUUUUGUCAUUUCUAUUUAGAAGCAAAUAACUAAUGAUUUUUGAUACUGACAUGGGAUGGGAUCUCAAGGUUGAAAAUAUUUUGCUUCAAAAUGACAAGAGUAAACCUUUUGUUAACGAGCGGCACUUGCUAACACAAAUAGGGAGAGUAAAAUUAAUUGUUUCCAACCUACACUGCAAUUUUGGUAUACAAACUUUGAAAAGAGAGGGUGCGUCCUUAGUCCUGAUAAUAUCUUUGUAGGCAAUUGUUAGUUGUCUUUGUUCUCUCUACAUUUUUUUUUCAUUUCUUUUUGAUCUCUUUUUUGUCCCCCAAGUGUGUGAUGGCAGUAGUGGUUUGAAUAGUGUGUUGGAAACCAGUAAGUCUCUAUGGAUAGAUACAAUCCAAAAUUUGUUAUGGUGUGAGCACUGAUGUUUGGCAUGAAUGUCUUCUUUAUACAUCACAUUUGCAUUAACAUUUAACAAUUUUCUCAAUUUCUGUUGGAACUAUUCUCAAAAUUGUUUAUUUUUUUUUUUCUUUCAUCAGAAGUG
rnacentral:misc_RNA from 1 species